ensembl:misc_RNA
UUAUAAGGAAGGCGCCGGUCCUCCAUUUCAGCCUUUUCUUUGCCAGGACGCGGCUGUGGCAUUUCUGGUCUUGUAAACAUCGGACUCUUUGGGGCCU